rnacentral:rRNA from 1 species
UACGGGGGGGGGCAAGCGUUUGUUCGGAAUUAUUGGGCGUAAAGGGCGCGUAGGCGGCCAUGCGUGUCUUUCGUGAAAUCCCUCGGCUUAACUGAGGACGUGCGGAAGAAACUGCAAGGCUUGAGUCCGGGAGAGGGGGGGUGGAAUUCCCAGUGUAGCGGUGAAAUGCGUAGAUAUUUGGGAGGAACACCGGUGGCGAAGGCGGCGACCUGGUCCGUGACUGACGCUGAGGCGCGAA